UGACUAAAUACUUUUUUGCCCCACUGUAUGUAGUACAUUAGAUAUUUCAGUUGUAGCUGGUAUCAAGUUUGAAUGAAAGGUUUAUAGAUCCUUAUAAGGGUUAUAGUACCUGGUUAUAUUGCAUAAGAGUAAGGGAGGAUAAAUAACUGCGCAUUUUUAUUAUUUAAAUUGAGUGAUUCGAACUGACGUAUGUUUGUAAGGUUUGAGUGAUUCAACCGUAUAUGUUUGCAGGUUGGAGUGAUUCAACCGUAUAUGUUUGCAGGUUGGAGUGAUUCGAACUGACGUAUAUUUGUAAGGUUUGAGAGAGUCGAACCGUAUGAUUGUGGUACAUUGGGUAUUAAGUCGAUGUACUAAUACCAAGUUUAUAUGACCUUCGGGUAAAUAACAGGUGUGAGACCUAGGUUAUGUUUUGAAACGGUAAAGGAGAAGUGCACGGUGUUUACUAGACAGUGGCUAGAUUGGGACACAUUCUAAGGCAGCACUCAAUUGAACCUGAUAAUUUAUAUUGUAUUCAAAUUAAACAAGUAAUUGAAAUACAUUAAUAAAUGGCUAACCAAGAGGCAGAGAAUGUGUUGAAAACAUUGAAAUCAGCAUUAGAGGCCAAUGGAGGAAAAGAGGGAAAAGAUUGGAGAAAGAAAGGAGAAAUUACACAGAGGAUGGAUAAAAGAGGGCAGUAUUGCCGCGCCCAACGGGCUCCCAGUCGACGGGGAGCCUGCUUAAAUACUGGUGACAUAGACUAAAAUUCAUUCUGAUUGUAAUUCAAAUAUUUAUAGGUUUUGCAUCAUGGGGAACAAUGAAAGGCCCGCAAAGUGGAUUGCAGGCUGAGUUUAUUUUAUGUUAAAGGGACAGUGUACGUUCUUCACAGUUGUGUGUGUCUAAUGGCAGGGUUUUUAAGAAGUAUUUUGGGGAGAAAAUUUGGAGGAAGAUUGAAUGAGUUACAUGAGACAUUGAGUAAAUUUAAAACUAAUGAUUGGAGGGAGUACAUUUUCAUUUUCCCAGAGACAUGAUAUCUUAAGGGGGUACACUCACAUAUGAAAUAUUAUACGUUUUUAUUUUCUGAGUCUUAAUUAAAUAGGUGAAAUAUUUUGAUAAAGGAAUGUUGUUUAAUAUAGUAAGAAACACUUCUUUGGAGGGGUGGUAUGACUUAUGACCUCCAUUGUAACUUUCCUUUGUGGUCUGAUCAGCCUCAUUGGAAAGCCAUUUGGAUGGAGAAUCUAGGGUCAUUUGUAAUAGUGAUAUUAAGGUAAUUUAAUACAAAAAGACAGUGAAAUUUACAUUAUAGUGUCAUAUUUGAUGAAUGUGGUGUGAAAAUUAGCUAGGAUAAGUUUGAAUUAUGGUCGACUCAUGUUAAGUAUUUGGGACAUAUUUUGAGCCAACAGGGCUGGGAAGAAAUUUAGAUAUUUGUGUUUGGUUUUAACACCUGUGUACAGGAGUACCUGUGUAAUGGGGGAGGGUGUCCAUAUGGGAAUUACAUGAUAACCAACUUGGGAGUGUUCUGGGAUUGGAGAAGUGGGUAUCCUUAUAGCAUAGGGGAUCCCACAAAGGUGGAUAGGUUUUCCAUGAUAUGGGGGAAACCUGGGAGCACUGUUGAACUCUGUAAAGGUGAUGAAAUCCUACUAACCAUGAAAACUAUUAAGCUCUCUGAUGCAGGCACUUACACCCUCGGACUACAAAGGACCGGGACAGGCACGAUGGGUGUGUUUUCUAUGAAGGUGCUGCCAAAACCACAGAGGUCCCAGACGAACCAGAGCCAGACACACUCCUCUACCACCCCUGGACCGAGCCUGCCACCCACCACCACUGUGUCAAAUCCCAUUCAGUUGCAGGCCUAAACCAAACUAGUGGUCUGGCCGAUGUGUGGUGGAUAUGUGGACCCAAAAGAAUACUGAGACCCAUUCUUAGAGGAGACUGACAAGGUACGUGUGCUCUGACCAGUCUGAUAAUUCCACUGACCAUUGUUGAUGUUACUGCUGAACAGCUGUUGGGUUCUGUAUCCAGGGGGCCUGAAAACAUUCCAUCCCAUGGGAGACAUAGACGUAGUGCUCCAUGGACGGAGGAUGUAGUUGACAUACACACUAAUCUGGUGUGGGUGCCAGUGGGGGUUCCUCAUGAGUUUCAGGCCUUGGGUAGGAAUGACGGACUCUGGCACUUACUACCUAUUAUAGGUCCAGCCAUAGUGGAUGCAAGACAGACUGCAUGGAUUAAUUAUAUCUACUAUAAUCAACAGCGUUUUGUGAAUUACUCUCGUGAUACACUCACUGGUAUGUCUGAAUAGCUGGAGGCCACAUCUAGGGUUGCCAGACAGAAUAGACUUGCUUUGGAUAUGCUUCUUGCCAGUAAGAUGUUCGGUGAACAAUGUUGCACGUUUAUUCCUAAUAACACCAGUCCUGAUGGUAGUAUAUCUAAGGCCCUUAGUGGGCUUGAUGCACUAUCUGCUGAGAUGAGGACCAUGGCGGGGGUGGAGGAGUCUGGACUGUUCUCUUGGUUGGGAGCCUGGUUUGGUAAGUACACUGGUAUGGUGGUUACUGGAUUUCUGACCCUAAUUCUUGUAUUUUUAUUAUUGAUGUGUUGUGCUGCUUGCAUCAUACCGUGUUUUAAGAAGUCUGUUACAGAUGUGGUGAAGGCUUCAGGCAUGAUGCCUUUGCUUGAUGCUCCAGUUGGAGAUGCUGAUACUGAAUCAAGCUUUCAGGGAGGAUGGGACUGAUUGAGGAUGACCCAUGGUAUGCUGUGGGUGAGGUAGUAGAAUAAAUAUUACACCACCACAGUUCCUUCUUUUACAUUUUUGUUUUAUGAUACGUUUUCUUUUCAGUAUGUUUGUUCUCCCUGUUGUGAAGGUUUGGAGUCCCUGGGUGGCAUGGAGCCCACCUGGUACAGGAUAGGAGUAGCUGAGAGGACCAGAUGGUUUAUAAUAAUGCUUUACUCUGUUUUCCAUGACCAAAGUUUUAUCCUAUAUCUUACAGUCAAUAAACAAUAAAGUUUGAUCCUGUUUUUGAUAAGUGACACCCUUAUGGGUGUCAAAAGGGGGAGACAAAAGCAUAUAUCACUUGUUGAUUUUUUAUUUAAUUUUUUUCUUGGUUGAUUUUUCUUUUCUUCUGUAAAAAAAAAAUAAUAAUAAUGUUUUAUUAAUAAUAAACUUUGUAUUAUUUUCAUGAAAUGCUAUUAACAUAUUACUAUGUUGGGACCACUAAAAUAAAGGACAAUGAGUGACACCCUUGUGGGUGUCAAAAGGGGGAAUCAAAAACUCCAGUUUAUAUAUAUGUUAAUCAACAAAGGGAUGUGCAUCACUUCAUAUAUUCACAAAAUAAAGGUUUAAAGUUCCUGGGUUCAUCAGCAACCUAGUAUAUCGGAUGGUGUGGUUACACCACACAGGGGUGUAAAAAGGGGGAUUAUGAGGAUUCUGUGUUAUGCACUAUAGCCCGUUACCAUAUUAUGUGAUUGAAUAUUAUCUGCUGUUGGCUUGUGUGGAUGUAUGGAUGUAUGUAUGUGUUAUGCAACAUAGCUGACUUGAAACAUUGUUAACAGUUUCAAGGCCAUGGGCCUGUCUCAUGAUGGA
ensembl:lncRNA